GGCCAGGUUGCUCAAUGGUUAGAGCGUGGUCCUCACAAGCCAAGUUGUGGGUUCAAUCCCCAGUCAGGGCA
rnacentral:tRNA from 1 species